UACGUAGGGAGCAAGCGUUGUCCGGAAUCAUUGGGCGUAAAGCGCGCGUAGGUGGCCACAUAAGUCCGCUGUGAAAGUCAAAGGCUCAACCUUUGAAUGCCGAUGGAUACUGUGUGGCUAGAGUACGGAAGAGGCGAGUGGAAUUCCUGGUGUAGCGGUGGAAUGCGCAGAUAUCAGGAGGAACACCAAUAGCGAAGGCAGCUCGCUGGGACGUUACUGACACUGAGGCGCGAAAGCGUGGGGAGCGAACAGG
rnacentral:rRNA from 1 species